rnacentral:rRNA from 1 species
AACGAACGCUGGCGGCGUGCCUAACACAUGCAAGUCGUACGAAGAAAAUCCGCUUCGGCGGGUGAGUAGAGUGGCGCACGGGUGAGUAACGCGUGGGUAAUCUCGCCCCCCGGUCAGGAAUAACCCGCCGAAAGGCGGGCUAAUACCCGAUAACACUGACACUCUGCGGAGUGUCUUUCAAAGAAGGCCUCUGUUUACAAGCUUUCACCGGAGGAUGAGCCCGCGUACCAUUAGCUAGUUGGCAGGGUAAUGGCCUACCAAGGCAACGAUGGUUAGCUGGUCUGAGAGGAUGACCAGCCACACUGGAACUGAGACACGGUCCAGACUCCUACGGGAGGCUG